rnacentral:tRNA from 1 species
AGACAUAUCGUAUAAGGGUAAUACAUAUUAUUACGGAUGAUAUAAUACUGGUUCAAUUCCAGUUAUGUCUU